CUCCUCCGCGCCCGAUCCCCUCUCUUCCCCCUUCUACCUGCGCUGCAGCCUCCUCCCACCUCCCCUCCACCUACCAUUGCCGGGGACGCCAGGGGCUCGUGCCUCCAACGUCGGGGCCGUGCCGCCGCCCGCGUAUCUCCCCUGCCCUGGCAACCCACCGCUCCGGAGUGAGACGUGCGCGGUUCCCCUGCGCCCGACGACCUUCCGCCGCCGCCAAGCGCCCACUCCGACGAGCUCCCGCCACGGCGCCUCAUCCCCCGACUACCCCGCACCCCGGCUCGUCUUCCUCCAAGGCUGCUGCAUCUUCCCCAUGUGUCGCCGGUGACGGAUCGGGCUGUCCGCCACCCCGCGCCGAACCGGCGGCGGGUCGGAACUCCCUCGCCAGCCCACGCCCGGCCGGCGACGGAUCUGAGCACCCCCACGCCACCCUGUGCCCAGCCGACGACGGAUCCGAGCUCCUCUCCCACCGGAAGCCCAACCAGGUGUCCCCCACCUUCCUCCCGCCUUGCGUGCGCGGUGCUCGUUGCCAUAGAGGGCUACCAAUCCCCUUGCGACGAGGACGAGAGGGGCGACCACCUCUCUCCGUGCAGUUUGGCUUCGCACCUAGUGCAGUGCAGUCAGAUCCUGCGAGCAGUGCGCUGCGCGCUCUCGUGUGGUUCAUCCACUGCCACCGCGAAUCCCCUCCCUUCCCUGACCUCUCUACUCCAUAGAAGAGCUGCUCUUCUGUCGCUCAUAGGCGCGUGCCUGACCGGGCUGCUUCUGAUGGUGGCUCGAGAUUGUGCGUGGGUGGCCACUGAUGGCAGGAUUGGGAGCUGCUUGGGCAUGCAGUUCCUUGGCUCAACCCAGGUCCAGUAGCCUGGGCGUACGCGAGCACGCCGGCCGGCGCCUUGCAGUUCACUGGCUUGUGGCACGCGGCUCCAAUGUUACGGCCGUGCAGUUGGACUUGUGCAUUUAGAUUUUGUCAGGUUUUGUUGUGUUUUCUGCAGUGCAAUUAGACACUGGUGGGUGCUUAAGUGAUAAUUGUGUUAUUCUACUGUUGGCGCAGCUUUGCUGGUUCACGGUACGUGGUUCCGGUGGUGCGGGCAAGCAGUACACGGUCACGCUUGUGUCCAAGUGGUGUCGUCCGGUGUCCGCGGAACAUGUAGCUCGCUAUCUCAUCGCAGACGGUUCUGGUGGCACGGGCAAGCACUACACGGCCACGCCUGCAUCCAAGUGGUGCAGCUCGGUACUCAUGUCGACGCAGCUCACAAGUAGCAAAAGGCUUGGUCUCCGGUGAGCUCAUUGGACAUGUCACCUAUUUCGUUCCUUACCCUAUUUACCAUCUUUAGUUUUGUCAAAUCUGAUGCUUUCAUAGUCUGUUAACGCCAUCAUCCAUCAUUUUGCUGUCUAUGUUUUCAAUAGCUAGACUGGAAACAAUUGCAUCUUGCUUCCACAAAAAGGUAAUAAUACAAGGAGUUAUUUGGACCGUGUAGUGCUGUCACCUGAUAAAGGGAUGGGAGUUUCAGACUGAAGAUAAACAGGAUGGGUACUUUGCUCAAUUUCAGAUAUUGGAUUCAGUUACGGCCACGUCAACGAUUCAAAAUAAAGUCUCACACAAGAUACAGAACCCAAUCCCAUAUAGAGGUUACGUGCAUGCAUUGCUAGGCUGCUAGCCACUUGGACUUGUGGAGUUUCUAAAAAAACUUGGACUUGUGGAGCCAUGGGCUGGGCAUGCGAAUGCAUUGGACAACUUGUUUGUGGCCGAACCAUUCUCUUUCUUUCUAGCAAUGCAUGCACGUAAUUUUACAGGGGCUUGGUGUUUUUCCUUGUAACCCCCAUGCAGUUCAUAAAGUUGUGUCUGCUUAGAUUCGCAGCGCAGUGCACAGUUGCCCAGGGAUUCUCAAGUUUUGUUUGUCUCUCUGUGUUGGUUCAUGUUUUUUGUGUACUUGUGAUGUGCAAGUUUCUCUGUUUCGUUAUACAUAUGUUCCAUUCGUUUGUAAACCCCUCAGUGAUUCACUUUGUGAAAAAGAAUGUACAGAGGAGCUCACUUUUAUUAUUUUUGGAGUUCCUUUUGCAAUUUUUUCUGGGCAAGUUUAUAACUUUUUGAAAAUCGAUGCAGCUCAUUGAGAAAACCUUUGUGGUGCGCUUUUGCAGAAAAAAGGACGAUGAAGCUCACCUUGUCGUACACGUUGCCAAAAAAACUAAAAGAAAUAUUUUGGUCAAUAACCUAAUGCAGUUCUCUUGCCUCGUCCACACAAUUCAAAGCACGAAAACGUCCUUUUCAGGUGACCUCCUCUUUUGGAUGGAUGCAUUUCAACACGGCCACUCUGCAGUCCAGCGACCAUCGCCGUGCAGCUCGGCGACGCGAGUGAUGUGGUACACUUGCAAAAAUUUGUAGUUUUUGCUUGCAGGUAGUGUGCGCUGCUUCGGGUGAGCUCGCUUCCUUGCAGUCCGCCGGCGCGUCCAUGCAGUGCGGCC
rnacentral:rRNA from 1 species